ACAAGGGCUCCUAGUCGUUUUAUUUUUAGCGUAAGGUUUUCCUCUUUAACAAGGAAGUAAAAAAAAAAGUUGUGCAAUAAAUAUUAAUCGUCCUUAUAUGUACUCGGGAACGUUCGUCCUUUAGGUUUUCUCCUGGCGCAUGGGCGCCGCCAAUCAUUUCGGGGCUUAUUUUGGUUCUAAAGCCCGGGGCAGCCAGGCCUCCCUGCCUGGCCUCGGCGGGGACGCGGGACCUGGGGCCCCGGACCGGGCCUAACCGCCCUGGCCGGUCCCCACUGAUGGUGGCGGUCGGUCCUGAUCGUCCUGAUGGCAGCGACCAGGCUGGACUCGGGCUGUGCAGGGGCGAGGGGAGCAGGGCGGGGUGACGCCCGGAGAGCGGCCUGGAGAGCGCGUGCUUCAGAAGGCGUGGGCACCCUGUCCCCUUUGCAGAUGGGGAUGCAGGCCCUGGUGGCGGUGGAGGGGAGAUGGGGGCAGGGACGUUGCCGGGCAGAGGAAGCUGGCCAUUCCUGGGGGAUUCCUGGGAGCCAUGUGGGAGAGGCGUGAGGAAGUGAGACCUUCACCCCGAGACAGGUCCUGACACACCCUCUGGUGCCUCUACUCAAGUGAGGUGAGAGGGGAAACUGGUGUAUUUUUAGAUGAAGUUUCCUUGGGAAAUUGUUUCUAUUUUAUAUUUUAUCAGUAAUCCCCUGGCUAAUGUUUUAAACCAAUAUUUAUAACACUGCCUCAGAGCUUUGGAAUAAACAGAUUUCCAUAAAGAAAAGCUGCUUUAGAGUGCUACACUGUAAGAGGGGCCGGGCAAACAAGAAGGGACGGAGGAAAGACCACCAAGUGAGAGGCACAGGUGUCAGGACACACAGAGAGCCCGAAAACGAGGCAGAGUUUGGCUGCUGUAACUGACUGGGAAGCUUAAAAUAACAGACAAUCAUCUCUCACAUUUAUGGGGACUGGGAAGUCCAAGACCAAGUUGCCAUCUGGGGAGGGCCUGUUCCUCACAGCGCCUUCCAGCUCAGGCCUCGUUUAUAAGGGCACUCAAGCCUUCCACGACAACGGGUCCUCAUGACUUACUCACCUCGGAAAGCCCCACCCCCAAGACCAUCACAUUGUGGGUGAUGGCAGAGCAUAAGGUGCCUUCCCCACAUGCUCGGGUUGGCCCAGCGUCUCACGCUAGCAGCUACGUGGAAUAGUUAUUUUUUCUGGAGAACUCUGGGACCCCUCUGAUGUCUUGGAGCACCCACACAGGCCGUUCACUGUGCACGCUGUGAGGCUGUCGUCUUGGAGCACCCACACAGGCCGUUCACUGUGCACGUGGUGAGGCUGUCCUCUGGGGAGUUCUGCUGUUGUAUGGGUUCUGUCUGUGUCAAUGUCCCAGCGGGAACGCAGGGCACACUAGCGUCAUCCCCAGAGGGCUUGGUAAGGGGACUGUUUGCAGAGACAUAGGCAGAGGGCUGGAAAACUACCAAAAAAGUGCAGUGUUCUGGACCUAAUAAUAGCAGAGCUAUUCUCACCCUGGUCUGAAGGCAGGAGGGGAGGAGCAGUUAAUGGAUUCUGGAAGUCAGGUUGCACAGAGUCACCUUGAAAGAUGCCAUGACCUUCACCGAGGGCCAGACAGAGACUAAGAUGACCCCAUAGGAGAAUAAGACCUAGACCUCAUCCUCCUGCCUCCUGCCAGUCCCUGCCAGGGGUCGCCAAUGGCAAAACAGGACUGGAAGCCAGAGGCCAUGGAAGCCCAUGGAUGAAGUCCACAGGCCAGCCUCCCCGAGAGCAGCCUGGACGGUCCGCAGGAGACGUCUCCUGUCUUAGGCGUCCCACGCCGCGUGCUCCUGUUCAGCCCUGCCGAGGUGGAAGCUUGGAGUGGCUCACGGUGGAUGCAUUGACGCUGCAGACGCCAGCAAGUGCUACAAACCAGAGCUGGCCUUUAACUCAGACUGAUGGAGAAGGUGUUAAUAAUGCAGAUUAGACUUAAAAGUGUUGAAGCCAUUGCACUGUGAACAGCAAAAAAAUUGAAGAACUCUUCUGGCAUUUAAAAACAAUUACUCAGUUCAGCAGAGAAGUCACUGACAAACGAGAUCACACUGACUGCUUUGUCGUUUUGGUUUUGUCUUACUCAUUAAUGCAAAUAAGAACAUUCACUAGCAUCUGUGUCGGGCCUACCCUCCCUGGUCAAAUACAGCUACAGUCUCCCUGCAGAAACGAGUUUUCCAGAAAUGAGCCGAUGUUUUCUGCGAGAAUCAAUUGGUCAUAUACAAUUUACAAAAAUGAGUACUGUAUACUAUAUUUGUAAACUGUACACUGCAGAUGCUUUAUUUCACUGAAAUUUAUAAUACACUUAUCCAUGUAUAUGCAUGCAUGCAUUUUUGUUCCUGAGAUCCAGCUGUGAAAUGUUUACCAGCACAUAAAUUACCAGCACAUGCUCUUUUUUGUUAACCUACUAGGUAAAAUCUUCAUUUAUUACAUCAAAUUCUUGUAGUUUUUGUAUUGCAAUUAUGCAGAUAUUGAUUAUCGCAGUAUUACUGCAAUUAUACAGAUACCACAAUUUCAGAUAUUGAUCAGCGUGUUCAGUUGGUUUCUAAGGAGGUUUACUUACCUCAUGGUACACCUAGUUUGCAUAGUUUGAUUAUAUUUAACUCUUAUGCUAAUUGGGGGAAGUCAUUGAUUUAUUGGACAGAUGCACCUGUGGUCUUCCCUGAGCACAUCCUGGCCAAGGAUGCUGCCCCCAGGAGAUUUGAGAAGUCCUGUAAGGAUCAUAUCAGUAUUUUCAAAUACUUAUAGAAAAGCCAGAGGGAUUGACCCAGAAUUACCAAUAUAAGCUUGACCCUGAGAUAACAAUGCCAUUUUAUGUUUGCAUGCAUAAAACCAAUGCAAGAGGCUGAUGACUCCAGAUCCCUUAUAUAAGCCAAUAAAAAGUAGUUUCAUUUUUUAUUUCAUUUAAAAAAGUGUACCAU
rnacentral:lncRNA from 1 species